UGAUCAUGCCAUAACUUUUGUUUUGAAAAUUCUUAAGAUUUCAAUCAACGAGCCAUGAUAUGGUCAAAUGAUUAUUUUAUUUCAAAAAAAAAAAAUGCCAAGAUUUUUCUUAAAUACAUCACCAAACACUAGAUGCAUCAAACCCUUUUCAUCAUUUUCCCCUCAUAUCUCUCUCGGCUCUAUACACACCAAACCAAACCCACCCUUUACCUUUCCCAUAAUCUUGUCUAAACCUACUUCUCCGUCUCCCACAAGUCUGGUUCUGGCGACGGUUUCGGCUGGUUCUCCUCCCACAAGACACCUGCACAACCCCCUCUUCACUAUUAAAACACCACACAGUCCCCGUUUUGCCUUGAGUUAAUGGCCGGCCACCACCAACCGGUGGUGGCGUACGGCGAUGCUGCGACGAAACGAGAACAGGGAGAGAGAGAGAGGGGAAGCCGGAGAGAGAAGUGACGGAGCAAGAGGGAGAGAAAGGCGGCGACAACGAUGGACGGCGGAGCCGCCCCUCCGGUUACCCGAAAAGCUGUUAACGGCGACUAGCGGCAGACAAGCGGUUGUGAUGGAGUUCUCCGACGACUUUUGACGGUAAACCCUCUCAACUCCUUCCUUUUUUUUUCUUUAAAACUUCCAAAAAGAUUCAAGUGUUGACAGGAGAUUCUUUUUUUAUUUUCGGUCGUUUUUCCGACGAUGAUUAAUGAUGAUGUUACUGUGGAGGUGGCUGAUGGCGGCUGUGGCCGCCGGAGCCACACCUGCCGGCAACAGCUGAAGCGGUGGUGGUGAGCGAGUGGUGAUGUUUCAGAUUCAAGCCAAACGGCUGAAGUAAUGAUGACACGGUUCAGAUUCGAGGUUAUGUUCGGAUUCAGGUUUGGUUUGUUUCAGGUCAGCGGGUUCGAAGAUGAUCCAGCUUUGUGUUCGGGUUAUUUCAGGUUUCACAGCUUGGGGUGUUUUUGAGUGUAUUGGUUCAGUUUGGUUUGGUUAAGUCAGAUUUCAAAUUCGGUUCAGUCAACUCGCGAUGCGGGUCAAAUCAGUACGAGUUCGGGUCAACUCGGUCAAACCGAGUUAACUCGGUCAACAACAGUCAACGGACCUGGUUCUGGUCAACGUUAGUCAACAGACGACUCGACUUGGUUCAGUGUUGAUAUUCGGGUCAACAGUCAAACUACCGGUCAACAUCAGGUCAACGUGAGGUCAAACGCAGUCGACACAAGACCCGGAAUGCUUUAGUUGCACGCUAGCGAGUUCACACUCUCGGAAUGACAUCACAGAAUCACGUUAAGCUAGCUUCGCACAAGGAAUAUUCAGGAUUUCAACGAACUCAAAUGGUUUACCAAAAGGUUUGAUCCAAACUUACCGCUUCUUACAACAAUACAAGGAUUUCGAAACAUGCAUGAGUUUCAAUGACGUGGGCAAAGGCCCAAGGACAUGGGCAAAGGCCCAAUGACAUGGGCAAAGGCCCAAUAACACUAGGUGUGUAGCUAUGGAAUUAGAUGAUAACAGAUCACUGUGCAUAAGUAGGAGGAUGACAUUAGUAACCAUUAAUCACGUAGUGACCAAGGUGCAAAAGGUAUAGAUCUAUCGAGUUUGAGGCGCGCUCCACUCCGGGUUUGUUAACCCUUUAUGAGUGCUUUUGUGAUCCCAAUUGAUAACAAAGUUGUCUCGGUUUGGUUACUUACUUAUGGCAUAGGUCAGUGUAUUAGCUACACACUGAUUGAUCCUUAGAUUCCAUAGGUAUCCUACAUACUAUGAUUUCAAUACCGGUUUACAAAGAUAACAAAAAUCGUUUCAAUACCAGCUUACAGAUAUGACAGAAAAUAUUUCAUUACUGGUUUACAAACUCAACAGUUACAUAUAUCGGUUUAUAAACAUAACAAAAAAACAUUUCGUUACCGAUAUACAAAGACGACAUUUCAAAUGCUUUGAGAUAUUAAGAUCUCAUAAACCGGUUUUUCAAAUGCAAGAUUUCAAGUGUUUUAAAACGCAUUUGAUACAAAACAAACAAACUAUGAACUCGCUCAACUUUAUGUUGAUUUUUCGCAUGUUCUUUCUCAGGUUGCAUUUUACAAACUACGGAACGGUUGGAAUAGAAGAACCCAUGGGA